rnacentral:rRNA from 1 species
UGCUUGCAUCAGAUGACGACCGGCGCACGGGUGCGUAACGCGUAUAGAACCUACCUUUUAGUAAGGGAUAGCCCAUAGAAAUUUGGAUUAAUACCUUAUAGUAUCAAGAUGUAGCAUUGCAUUAUGAUUAAAGAUUUAUUGCUAAAAGAUGGCUAUGCGUUCUAUUAGUUAGUUGGUAAGGUAACGGCUUACCAAGACAUCGAUAGAUAGGGGCCCUGAGAGGGGGAUCCCCCACACUGGUACUGAGACACGGACCAGACUCCUACGGGAGGCAGCAGUGAGGAAUAUUGGACAAUGGAGGCAACUCUGAUCCAGCCAUGCCGCGUGUAGGAAGACUGCCCUAUGGGUUGUAAACUACUUUUAUAGAGGAAGAAACAGUUCCACGUGUGGAACUUUGACGGUACUCUACRAAUAAGGAUCGGCUAACUCCGUGCCAGCAGCCGCGGUAAUACGGAGGAUCCAAGCGUUAUCCGGAAUCAUUGGGUUUAAAGGGUCCGUAGGCGGGUCUGUAAGUCAGUGGUGAAAGUUUUCGGCUCAACCGGAAAAUUGCCAUUGAUACUGCAGGUCUUGAAUUAUUAUGAAGUGGUUAGAAUAAGUAGUGUAGCGGUGAAAUGCAUAGAUAUUACUUAGAAUACCGAUUGCGAAGGCAGAUCACUAAUAAUGUAUUGACGCUAAGGGACGAAAGCGUGGGCAMCGAACAGGAUUAGAUACCCUGGUGGUCCACGCCGUAAACGAUGGUUACUAGCUGGUCGGACUUCCGUCCGAGCGGCUAAG